GACUUGGCUGCCAUUGGAGAUCAUAUGUCGUAUGGGACCCACUGGGUAUGAUUUUAUGUAGAGAACGUGAUACAUGAGGGCACUCGAGAAGGACGCGACUCGUGCAGUAACUCGCGAUCCGGUCAUUUCGCAUCGCCGUAAGGGGGAGGAGGAGAUGGCGGAGAACUGCGGAGGGAGAUCAAGGCGACCUCGAACUAAGACGACGAUGGAGGGUUUGGUCUUGUUCGAUGCAGGAAAGUGAAGAGAUCUUCGUCGAAUUGGUGGUUGAAGUUUGGUAUCGAGCCAGAUUGUUCUUGUGGAGUCAUGCCGUUGAGAAGACAACAACGCGUUGACGACAUCAACAGCGUGUAGAAGAGCGAUAUGACGCAGGUUUGAGCUAUUGACGAACGGAUGGAACGGAUGACAGGGUCUGUGGAACAACUUGUUGAAAGAAUAGCGGCGAGGUUUGAAAACCAAAAUAGAAAUCCGGUCCAACGCCAUCACCAGACAGACUCUGAUGUUGAAACGAGUGAUGGAGAGGAAAAGGACGUUUUUGGAUAGAAUGUUCUUGAUUUGGAGGAAAAAAAUUUUAUUUAUAAGAAAGAUGUGGACGAUAAAAUUGAAAUACUCGGUGACCCAAUUUAUGACGAUGAUGAAGUAGAAGUUGUCGAUGAAGUUGGUGACGGUGUGUUGCAGGUUUCGAACACAUCGGAUUUUCACUCCGCUGUGUCAAGAAUUGUUGGUGAUAAUGCAGGUCAUGCCAAAAGUGCAAUCUUCAACAAAAUCCAUUGGAAAGAUUAUAGUGGUGCUAGGGCCUUUUUUCUUGAAGCAGUGAAAUCAUCCUGAUUGUUUGAUCAUGCCUCAGAAAUGCUUGCGGUCUGUGAUAUUCUGUUCAAUGCUGAGACAGACCUAUCACCGACAUUAUGGCAUUGAUUGGUACCUGAUUUUACGGCUUGGUCAUUCUACUGAGACUUAUGAGAUACAUGCCAGGUAUUCAAUACUUGUAUCACAAUCGUGUUAAGAAUGAUUUGCCAGGUGCAGAUUUGGCACUAAACUUUCUGAAGGAAGUAUUUUCUGUGCUUUCAAAUCCUGUGGGCAGCAUUUGAUUCCAAACGAAGUGGUUCUCGUGCUUCUCCAUGCAAAUCAAACUCUCAGUUGAAAGUCGGUUACUUUAUGGAUGCUGGUCAUCCAGUGGUCAUUGAAAGCAAGGUUUCAGAAAGUACUUUCAGCAAAAAUAGUUCUGCUGACAAAAGAGUAACUCAUGAUGCUUCAGAAGAUGACACUGAUCACCAACAAAAUAAAAUUUUGAUGCAUGAGUUAGACUCUGUCAAAUUCCAAGAAAAUUCCAAUUUGCUGGAUGAACUAUGCAAAUAUGUGGUUUUUCAACCUAUGGAUACAAAAGUCGUUAGAUUUUGCCGAUUUUGUGUUAGAUGAACUUCCCAUCUGAUAUUAUUCUAAAUUCGAGGGAGAAUUUUCUCCACCUUGGAAAGAAUGAUGCAGACAAAAGAACAAAUCGAGAAAAUAAUUUUAAUGAUGCACAAGAGUAAAUUGAGGAAACAAUUUUAGUGAUGUAGACAGAAGAGCAAAUCCAGAAAGAAAUUUUUAACCUUUUUUAUUAUUUUUGUCGAGUUUAGUAUUUCAAGUAUUUUUAUUAAUUUCUAUUGUAUUUUUGGAUUUGGAGUCCGUUUUAGGUUAGGAUUUAUUUCCUUUCUUUAAAUUUCAGAGUUUGGGAUCUAUGUAAGCGUCUUGUUUAAUGUUUUAAGUGGAGUUUUUGAUUAAUGCUAUUUUUAGCAA